UUCGCCUUCGAAAAUUUGAUUGGUUUAUGCCAAUCAAAUUUUCGAAAAUUCAGCAGGGAAUGAUGUAGCGUGGUACUGGUUUCGACAUUUGGAAGCCCCUCGUUUAGUUAUUUUGAAGUUCAGAUUCUACACCAGCUCACUUGUGUGAAUCGGAGCCUCUCUCUUCUUUCAAUGUAUUGGAUGUAAGGCAACGCGAGUGCCGCUCCUCUUUUUAGAUUUGAGCAACUUGGCAUAAUGGGUGCUGGAUGUGAUUCGACGGCUGUGUUUUAGCCAAGACACCCAAAUACCAAUACACCCGAAAGACUCAUGCUUUCCUUUUUUCAUUUUUUUCGUUUGGAUAUUUCCCCCAAAUAGCAGAGUCUUUCGGCGGAGGUUUUCUUGUUCUUGGAACCUCAAAAACCCGGCAAGCGAUUCGAUUUGAACUGCGCUCGGGAGGUUAAAGGUGAUCGCCCGAGAAUAUUUGAAUAUGAGACCGAUGUAGGGACAAGGGAACUUGGCAUGACUUGCGUGAUUAUUAACUUCGUUAAUAAUUACGCAGUUCCGGUCCUAUUGAUUAGUACGCUGAUCUGAGGACUAAAAAUUAUGUUCUUCCAUUUCAACGUGGACCGUGGAAGAGGUCGGAGUGGUGUUAUUUUCUUGAACCGCGAAUUUCACAAAAGCUGGAUAGUCGAUAGAUUUAGGCAAAGUUGAAGUUGUACCCUCCCGUGCAUCCGUUAAAUACAUCCGGAGGAAGCGCCGCUACUGACCCCACGGAGUCAACGUUGGAAUUGACCAAAAAUCCAGCCAAGGCUCAAACCUUUCCGCCUGGUUCGAAGACUGCGCUGCGCGAACAAUACUGGCAGCCGCAACAGGCGUAAACCGGAAGUUAGGACCGCUCAUCGCACGCCCAGCUAGGAGUAGAACCCGUCGACGUAGCGAAUCACAUAAAUCCAUGGUAGUGAGUACCUUUUUUCCUUAUCCAUUAUUAACAUGCGCAUGUAGGAUAAGUGAUAUUGAGCAAAACGCUAUAAAUAGCUACUAACCACGAAAGCCACACAAUUCAAAGCCAUACACACACAAAUAAUGCAUGCAGUGGAGAGCUCACUCCAUAUGACUGUGUAAUUUCAAUCGCUAUAAGCGAAGCCAUUCAUGAAUAGCCUAACGGAGUAAAUAGCAAGCGCGCCGUCUUCUCAACCUAGAUGUGAUGAGAUCGAGACUUGGGAGGAAAAUUAGAGUAGAGUAAUGAAAUUUGAUUAAUGUUCUUAGAGUAAAUAAAUUUUCUAUGUUGAUGGUUGUUCUUUCCUGAUUGACUAAAUGUUCAAUGUAGAAGAGAAGUGUUGAUGAAGCUAAUUGAUUUAAGUGAUUGAGAAUGUUGUGAGAGAUGUUUUGAUAUUUAAUGUAGUGUAAAAUAAACUUUUCCGUUCGAUUUAUAUGUUAAGGUCUAAGAAACAAAUGUGUAUUUACUGGCUCGCGGUGGCCUAAACACCGACGAACCCGUUCACUCUUCUUUUUGUGUUAAUUAGGUCACGAGUCAGGGUGGAGACUCCUUUUUUUGUUUACUUCCACUCUCACUCCUACGCUCCGAAGCGAGCUCUGAAGUUGAGGGGAAGAUCAUUAUUAGUAGGUCCAGUGAGGAGACCUCAGCAUAAGUGGUAGUCAGUGGGAUCGACCCAGACUUCCUUGUGUCUGCAUUACGUCUCGUGGACAAACGAUAUCGCGGGUUCUCCCGAGAGUGCAGGAAAAAAGUCGCGAAGCUAACCGGGUUGGUGAGGAGAAAAGGACAAACCCGCCCUCAGUGGGUGUCUCAUUGCCGGGCAAGGAAAAUAACACGGCGGUCGGUCUCCCUCACGGGAGUGGCGCUUAAGCCGACCGCUUAUCUGCGCAAAUUCCCCGGUAGCGACGGGCUCGCGCGCUCCCCCGGCGUCGCGGGUUACAUUUGGCGCCCA